AGGGUCAGAGGUGUGGUAGGGUCAGAGGUGUGGUAGGGUCAGAGGUGUGGUUAGAGUCAGAGGUGUGGUAGGGUCAGAGGUGUGGUAGAGUCAGAGGUGUGGUAGAGUCAGAGGUGUGGUAGAGUCAGAGUCAGAGGUGUGGUAGAGUCAGAGGUGU